rnacentral:rRNA from 1 species
UUGACCUCGGAUCAGGUAGGGAUACCCGCUGAACUUAAGCAUAUCAAUAAGCGGAGGAAAAGAAACCAACAGGGAUUGCCUCAGUAACGGCGAGUGAAGCGGCAAGAGCUCAAAUUUGAAAGCUGGCUCCUUCGGGGUCCGCAUUGUAAUUUGCAGAGGAUACUUCGGGAGCGGUCCCCAUCUA